UACGUAGGGUGCGAGCGUUAAUCGGAAUUACUGGGCGUAAAGCGUGCGCAGGCGGUUAUUUAAGUCAGGUGUGAAAGCCCUGGGCUUAACCUAGGAAUUGCGCUUGAGACUGGAUAGCUUGGAGUGCGGCAGAGGGAGGUGGAAUUCCACGUGUAGCAGUGAAAAUGCGUAGAGAUGUGGGAGGAACACCCGAUGGCGAAGGCAGCCUCCUGGGCCAGCACUGACGCUCAUGCACGAAAGCGUGGGGAGCAAACAGG
rnacentral:rRNA from 1 species